rnacentral:lncRNA from 1 species
AUUGUGGGGGAGGGGCCGGCCAGCCAGGGCAGGCAGGGGCGGCCUCUCUGACGAGAAGGAGGCCACUGGGCUGAGGCCAAUGAAUGGGAAAGAGCCAGCCAUGUGGUGAGCUGGGAGAGGGCAUCCCAGGCCGUGCGACCUGCGCUUGCAAAGGCCCUGGGGCCGGACAGUUCUUGGCAGAGUCUGAGGGCUUGAGUCUGGGGGAGCCUGGCUGCCCAGAGGUGGCAGAUGACAUGAAGAAAUAACCAUGUAAGGGCUGGCUGUGUAUGAGAGCAAGCAUUGGGAAGGAUGAAUGCCAACUAUGUUCCAGGAACUUCCACUGUUCUCACACACCCAGGUGAGUGGUGUUCAGGUGGGUGGCACCCAGGUGAGUGACAUCCCAGUUGAGUGGCACCCAGGUGAGUAGCAUCCAGGUGAGUGACACCUAGGUGAGUGACAUUCAGGUUAGUGGCGUCUGUGUGAGUGGCAUCAUCCAGGUGAGUAGCUUCCAGGUGAGUGGCACCCAGGUGAGUGGCAUUCGGGUGAGUGGCAUUAUCCAGGUGACACCUGGGUGAGUGGCAUCCAGGUGAGUGAUAUCAUCCAGGUAAGUGGCACCUAGGUGACAUCCAGGUGAGUGACGACAUCCAGGUGAGUGACAUCAUCCAGGUAAAUGGCACCCAGGUGAGUAGCAUUCAGGUGAGUGACACCCAGGCGAGUGGCAUCCACGUGACUAGCAUUGUCCAGGUGCAUAACACCCAGGUGAGUGGCACCCAGUUGAGUGGUGCCCAAGUGAGUCACAUCCAGGUAAGUGGGGUCCAGGUGGUGGCACCCAGGCGAGUGGUGCCCAGGUGAGUGACAGCCAGGUGAAUGGUGUCCAGGUGAGUGGCAUCACCCAGGUGAAUGGUGUCCAGGUGAGUGGCAUCCAGGUAAGUGGUGUCCAGGUGGUGGCACCCAGGUGAGUGGUGUCCAGGUGAGGGGCAUCACCCAGGUGAAUGGUGUCCAGGUGAGUGGCAUCCAGGUGGGUGGUACCGUCGACGUGACAAUAGCUAAAAAUUAUUGGGCUCAUUGUGGACAGGCACUGUGCCGAGCUUGACAUCACUGAACUCAGUUCAUCCUCGCCAGGAGCUUGUGGGCCGUCCCUAGAUCAGAAUCCGAGGAGAAAGGACUUCCACACGGCAGCCAGCGAGCUGGAGGGCGGCCUCCUGCCACCACCAGGCUCCCUAACCCAGUCCUGGAUAUCUGUGAAAGAAUGAGUGGAUCCCCACAGGCCAGGUGGGCGGGGACGGAGGGCUAUUGUUUCCUGGGACAAACGUGUGUGGGGAGCUGAGUGUUUCUCCUUUCUCAGCCCUGACUUCCCACAGCUAUCCCCAAACACACUCGUUUACACUGAAGCACCAGGAGAUCAGAACCUUCUGGAAUCUUAAUAUGCGAGGACUCGGUGGAGAAGGCGGCACUGAAGAAGAGUCGUCCCUAGGCCAGGCUGGAGGGAAACUCAAGACGGCGGCCUGGCCCUCCUGGGUGGCGGAAGUGGGAGCAGCAGGAGCCCUGGCGGAUCCGGGAGGCCAGAAGAGCGGAAGCUUCCUCCCCUCUCAGGACAGCCACAAGGACUUUCGGGGGUCGUGGCAGCUGCUCCACUUCCAACUUCCAGAUCCCUCUCACUUUCCUCUUCCCACCAACUCCAACCUGGGACCAAGCAGGGGAAAGCAGCUGCAGCCCAGCUUGACGCCCCUGCAAAUGGAGACCUGUGCACCUGGUUGUGAGCAUUUUAAAGGGUGUCACACAGGGCAUACCCUUCGGUGCCUGGAUUCCUUUGAUGAAAGGGCAAAGCCUUGAACCUAAGUCAUCUUCGAGUCCUCAGCACUUCACCCAGAGCCUGGCACACAGUAGGAGCACAGAAAGGUUUACAUCCAGCAGGAGUUGGCCCUGAGCUCUGAGUCCAGAUCAUUGCUCUUGGCUGAAGCAGCCUGUCUACUCACAAAGAUGAGCAUGGUCCCUGCCACGAGGAAACUCGUGGUCCUGUGGACUGCGGUGUGGAGGGAAAGCUUGGGAUUCUGAGCCUGAUAAUGCACCAUUACAUCCCCACUCACUCGGGCUGUGUGAACCCAGCAAGUCACAGGAUCACUGGGUGGUGAAAGAAAGAAACACUCACAGAAGCGUCUGUGCUUGGAGAGCCAUCUGGUCCGUCAUUGUGACUGCUGCUCUCAUUGCUAUCAUGGGUGUCACCAUUGCCAUCACUCAAGGACUUCUCUCCAGGCCCCGAAGCCAAGCUGGUGCCUGGUUCCUCUGGGUUGGGAGAGGGGCUGGGCAUGGACAGGAGGAGGGAAAAGGGACCUGUGCUAGCAGGUGAUGCCAUCCAAGACAUCUGCAUCCUAAUCCCUGGAACCUGGGAUUCCACUAGGUGCCAUGGCAAAGAGGGAUUAAGGUGGCAGGUGGAGUGAAGGUUGCUAAUCAGCCGACCUUAAAGUAGGGAGAUGAUCCUGAAUGAGACAAAAGAGAGAACCAGUCAUGGUGUCAUGAGAAGGACUCAAAAUGCAACUGCUGACUUUGAAGAUUAAGGGGCUACAAACCAAGGAACGUGGUAGUCUCUGGAAAAGACAAGGAAUAGACGCUGCGUUGGGGCCACCAGAAGGAACCAGCCCUGUCAACACCCUAAUUUUAGCCCAGUGAGGCCUGUGCUGGACUUCUGACCUCCAGAACUGUAAACUAAUAAAUGUGUGUUGUUUCUGCC